rnacentral:lncRNA from 1 species
ACCGUGCAUCCUCUCUCUCUCAUUUCUCACUCCUCAAACCACAAUCCCCAAUUCUCUCCUCUUUAAUUUGUUGGAGCCCUAAUUGAUUUUGAUCCCAAAGAGCUUCAAUUUCAAAACAUGAACUCUGAUUCGUGGAGCGCUCGUCUAUCUUCAGCUUCUAAGCGCUAUCAAUCCGCUCUUCAAUCGCGAUUUGGUAAGCUCAACCUCUGUAACUUCCCAAUUUUUGUCGGGAUUUCACCUGUGAUCUUAUUGUAGAAAAGAUAAAGUGUUACCAAGUUGCUCAAAUUUCUAAUUUCAGGAGGUAGAGUUCCGGUGAAGCUGUUGUUGUUUAGUAGAAGAUUUGUGAGGUUCUCUAGUUUGUCCAGCCCAGUAGCUCUGAAGGGAAAUUUCCAGAGAAAUGAUUUCGAGCCAGAAAAAAAUGGUGCAAAGUUGAAUCUUUAACGCAGAGGUCAUUGGGAAUGCUACCUGUCAAAAGGCUAUCA